GUUACGUUCUCCACUCUUCCUGCUUCACUUCACUCAUCCCGCUUCGUUCUCCAAACGCCGUCGGAGACAACUCAUCGCCACCUCUGUAACUCAGCUCACCGGAGACACAAGCACCCCCACCCUUCGUAAGACACUCACAACCAUGUCGGUAAACCUAAGAAGUUAUCUGUAACUUUUCAUUCUUAUCAUUUUUCUCUUUUCCCUUUUAUUUAAGUUCUCUAGGGUUUUCUGUAUUUCAGAUGUUGUAAUCUCCUCUGUAUGUAUGGAUAAAAGAAAAAUCGAAGCAUAGUUGCGUUUUUUUUUCAGUAAACUCUGGUUUUCUAAUUGCACAGGCUGUAUUGCAACUUAAAAACAUAAGGAAACCACAUAGUUUUUCUGUAGUUUUGUUGAUCGUCUCGUUAGGGUUUUCUCCUCUAUCUUUUUAUUGAUUUUUUUCGUUGUAAAAUCUGAUUUAACGUGUAUGGUACGCUUGUUUCAGAAUGUGUUCUUAUGAAUAACCAAUUUUAUCAGAUCAGAUCACGAAUGUCUUACUCAAAUCUCUUGUUGUGAAUAACCAAUUCUGGCUAACAGCAACAUUGUCAUCACGGGUUAUUAUUAGGGUCACAUAAUCUGCCACAUUUAUCAACACAUAGAUUUAUUCCCCAUGGUACAUAAAUUUCUGAAGAUUAAGAAACCAGACUGUACUUUGUUAAUUACUUAAUAUUAAUAUACAUGCAAAAUGUCUAAUAGGGUAAUAAUGAAAAGCCUUUCCAUAUUGUUUAUAGGCUUCAAAUUGUGAAUGUUGUAGGUAUCAGAUGUUGGACAAUCAAAUGUUAAUGUAUAAAUUUAUUUGUUUACAUGUUCACAACAUUCAUCACAUGGUUCAAUGCUUUCCUUAAUGAGGAUUCAGACUGGUUAUUGCUGAUGCAGGAAACAAUGAGGAAUCAGACUUGUACUUAGAGCCAUCCUUCACCUAUAUAUAGAACUCGAAACUAUACCCAUCUGUAAGUUUUUACACAUAAUUCUAAGAGUUUAGAUUUUAUCAUUUUAAAAUUAUUUUUAGUAACUUGCCCCUGCAGCUUCUCAACCUGAUUUUAUGCCAGCAUGGUUCCGGUUAUUCAAUAAAGAAUUUGUACACAAUGUAUCCUUUGAUCAUCUAUUACAUGUAAGUUUUUAAAUUGAAUUGUUGCUCAUUCUCCCAUUUAAAUUUCAUGGAUUUAGUUAUAAUAGCAAUUCUAUUGAUUUUAAAAAAAAGUCACUAAAGGGUGUUUUAGUCAUUCAACAUAAUUUUCACUUCAAUUCUCUUGAUAGAUUUACAAACCAAACACAAAACAAAACAUG
rnacentral:lncRNA from 1 species